CUGGGACUCUGGGGUAAAAUCAUAAAAGAAUUUCAAGAUAGUCUCCCACAGCCAUUCCUGAAAUCAGUUCCAGACAGUCCUAAUUCCUGCCCCCAGGGCCAGUCUGAUCAGUAUGUACCUAUGCGGUUGCUCAGAAGUGCAGACAUUCUGAAGAGCCCACACUUAAUUUAAUGCCCUGAUUUUACCAUCUUGAUGUUCUUAAUAAUGUUUGAGCAAAGGGCCAUCUUUUCAUGUUGUAUUAGGCCCCACAAAUUAGAUCUCUAGUCCUGCUUGACCAGUGAGGCAAAUGAUAAGACUACUAACUGAAUCAGGCUCUCCAAAGCAAGAGGUUAACAGGUAGUGAGGAGACAGGCUUAUUUGUUCAACAGACUCUUAGACAGCAACUACCAUGUGCCAAGUCCUAUACAUAUAUUUUCCUAUUUAAUCCUGAUAGUAAUAUCCUCCUUAUUUUACAGAAGAGGAAACUGAGGCAUUGAGAAAUUAAGUACUUGCCCAAGGUCACCUAGGUAGUACACCCAGAAAUUGAAUUCAGGCAUCUGGCUAGAGUUUGAAUACCUGGCUGUGUUGGCCAAUGCUGGCUUCCCAUCAAAGAAAAAUGCCUUAUUCUGUCUGUUAAUAGAGUACUGGGGACAUGCAUUAUGGUCUUUACCUUAAAGACCUUUGCUGAAUAGUCUAAAAGUUUCAAGGAUGAUACCUUCUGAGAAAUUCCAACUCUCCACAGCAAUGUUUUUCUGCUCGUAAUGCCAAGGACACUUGCCUGAGUUAAAUUAAUGAGAUGACUAUAAAUAUUGAGUAAAGUAUGGCCAGUGUAUUUGUGGCCCAACACAGAUGUGCCUACAGAGUUCCCAGACUCUCUAUGCCCAACUCCUGCACUGUUGACGGAGGGGAAAGAAGUGACAAGGAGAAUGGGCUGACCUUGGACUCCCUGUGCCUCCCUAGUUCAGACAGCACCACACAUCUUCCUAAAAGCAAGAAGGCCCCGUCUGGCCAUCAUUUCACUUAAAGUGGAGAAACACACAUAAAGGCUGCAUUUUUAUGGACAUAAGAGGUUAGGGCUGAUGAUGUAGAGAAAAUCAGUGUGAAUUCUAAGAAUUAGACAAGGAGUGAUGUGCUCACUGCUCACCAGUCUGCAAAAGCCCUUCUGCUCUGGGCUAAUGCUCAAGAUACAAAUCCAUUGAUGAGGACAGAGGGAUCCCCAAAAGCCUACUGUACCCCCCACCCUCCAGGGUUAGCUGUGCCACCCAGGAGCAGCCAGUCAGUCAAAAUGUCCAUAGGAGUCUCUGAUCAUUCCAGAGGGUCAGCAGCGCCCCAGGUCAAGGGCAAUCUAGCCACAAAAAGGCAAUAUAAAUCUUCUCCCACAUAAGUUCCUCCAUUCUCUCUGCCACAGUACAUUUCCAGAAUCCUCCUUUUCUGGAAAUUCAAGAGAGACAGACUAAGAGAGAAAAUAAUGUGAAGUAGAGGAAGAGUCACAUUCCCAGAAUUCCACCUAACCAGAGAGAAAUGGAAUAAAAGCAGCACUCAGCUCCUCCCCCUGUUGACCUGGUUAAUACAAAACUCUUGCACCUUUGAUAGGGUCCCUUCUUUCUGCUGCAGUCUGCCUUAUCCAGCCUCCACCCUCAGCCCUAGAAAUGUGAUUCCUCCAGUGCACAGUUUGGGCCACAAAAAAAUGGAGGUAGAAGGGGGGAAAGAGCGUGACAUCUAGUCUAAGAGAACUAAAAAGGAUUUCCUUGCUCCCUUUCCACCUUUUCUUAUCUCCAACCUCACAUAAGCAGAUGGGUUUAACAGCGUGACUCAGGUGUCUGUGGAAGAGCAGAGAGAGUGCUGGAGCCCAAAGGGAGCACAGUCCUCACCCCAGCCCCAAGGUUUGCAUUUCUCCACCUGAGGGCUCCUCUGACAGUCUUCUGAGGGCUCAAGAUGAUAGAGUCCCCCAUCAUGAACUUAUAGCUAGAUUUGCAAAGUGGUCAGCAACUCUGAUCAGGGCAAAUUUUGCACGGAAGCCUCUGAUUACAUUAGCUGAAACAUUGUGACACCUCACAUGACUUUGAACUUUAUCAGUCCUUACAUGCAUACAAAGCCAGCGUGAUGCCAGGAAGCAUCAGCACAGAGCGUGAAAUAUCAGAACUCCUCACAAUGCUCAAGGUUGUAAUGAGACACAGGGUUUCAUUCUGGCCUUGAUAACUCACAAAUAGCCUGGAUGAACUUGAAGCACCUUCAGAGGAGAGUCACAACUACCUCUUUGUCCAAAUCAAAGAAAAUGGAAAAGAGAAGGCUGACCUGAGCAACAGCAAUAUGCUCAAGGACAAAUUUCUAAAAAUUAUAAAACCAAGGACGUCUGCGUGGCUAAGCAGCAAAGCACCUGCCCUUGGCUCAGGUCGUGAUCCCAGGGUCCUGGGAUCGAGUCCUGCAUCAGGCUCCCUGCUCCAAAGGGAGCUUGCUUCUCCCUCCACCUCUGACUGCUUCUCUCUCUCUCUCUCUCUCUCGUGAAUAAAUAAAUAAAAUCUUUAAAAAAAUAAAAUAAAAUAAAAA
rnacentral:lncRNA from 1 species